rnacentral:snoRNA from 1 species
AAAUAAUAAUAAAAAAAAUAGAAUGCAGUUUCUCAUUUGCUGUGGACAUGACUAUAAAAAUUUUUCCCACUAGGUUUAUCAUAUAUUACCUUGUUAGCAAUCAAUCUAUUGGGAACAACA